UUUGUUGGUCCCAGAAGCUCAGCAACGAAAGCAGUAUUAACCAGAAAUUCUCAGCCCAAUUGAAAUUACAUUUCCGUUUGGUGCAAAAGGCAGUCCUGCCAUCAAGGGAGUAAUAUCAAGAGGGCCAGGGCACAAAAGAGAUGCGCAAGAAGAUGAGGAAGGAUGUGGCUCAGCAGGCUUCCAGUGGGAAGGAAAGAUAAGAGAUGAAGCACCACCUGGAUUGGCUGUGCAUCACAUCUAAUCUGGCCCUCAGAACAGGAUUCCCAGCAUCUGCUACAGUGAAACCCUGCGCUGGUGUCGGUGUUUCCUGUGGUGUCACAUUGGGAGCCGGUGGCAGUGGAGCAGACAGAGCAGUAGGUAUCUCAGGAAUGGGCGCUGCUGCGGG